rnacentral:lncRNA from 1 species
GGAAUGAUGAGGACAAUAAAUAUCACAAAGCUAUAAAUGAAAUCUACCACUGAGAUGAGAAUGUAUUAUCAUAGAACCAUAGAAUAUCCCGACUUGGAAAGGACCCAGAAAGAUCAUUGAGUCCAACUCCUGUCACUGCACAGGUCUACCCAAAACUUCAGACCAUGUGAUUAAGUGCACAAUCCAAACACUGACAGGCUUGGUGCCAUGACUAUGCUCUUGGGGAGCCCGAUCCAGUGCAUGACCAUCCUCUCAGUGAAGAACCUCUUCCUGAUAUCCAGCCUGAACCUCCCCUGUCGCAGCUUGACACCAUUCCCUCGGGUCAUUAAAGAGAAUGGAUCAGCACCUGCCCCUCCACUCCCUCUCAAUCUGUACAGACCUGCUUCCAGUCUGUACAGACCUAGUAACCUCAGCCGCUCCUUGUACAUCUUCUCCCCUAGGCCCUUCAUCAUCUUCUCCCCUAGGCCCUUCAUCUUUGUAGCCCUUCUCUGGAUGCUCUCUAACAGGUUCACAUAUUUCACGUAUGCUUUUCUUUUUCAUAGUCUUAAAGGGGACAAGUCUUUUACUCAUAAAUUGUACCUCAACUGAUCAACUAGUGACAUGUCUCUUCCUUGAGAGUAGGGCUGAAUCCAAUAUAUCAAUUUAUUUAUCAAUUCAUUUAAUUUCUGCAGUAUGAAGUAGACCAAGUGCUCUCACAUGAAGAGUUUUUUUCUUGGUUCAGGCCUCCAUUAUCUGGGAUAUUAAACUGAGGGUUUAUUUCGAACAGUUAAUUCAAGAUGGUUAAUUAACUACUUACAACCUAGCAUAGCAGAAAUGUAGUAUUUGCAUAUACAAAAAAAUAUAUGUAAGCUUUUUGGACGAUAAAAUCUUUGAAGCUGUGAUACAACUGCUGAAAAUUGUCUCAGUUUUCAGUACAAUAAACUUGAAUUGUUUAAUAUUUAAUAGCUUCUUUCCACCACUGACAAUAUUUGAUAGCUGCUUUCCACCACUGAAGAAAUUUAAGCAUGGAAUUAUUCAUUUUCAAACAUCACAAUUUCCUUUCCAUUACAUUAGUAAAACAUGAACUUUUCAAAGAUAAAAUGAAAAAGAUCUCUGAAAAUACCUGUCAAUAUCUUACAGCUUUACAUUAAAAGAUAAAUUAGGAACAAAAAAAAAAAGGUAAAAUUAUGUACUUGUUUCUGUGUGAUACCCACCUCCUGACAUUCUAAUCACUACUGUGUUUUUUUUUUUUUAAUUUAAAUUUCUUUUUUUUUUUAAUUUAAAAAUUCUCACUGUGGUGCAGGCUUUACUGAUACACUUUAAAAGUUACUGAGCAUGUGCAAAAAUAAUAGGCUGAUUAUUGACAUAAUUCGUUAACAAAUUGAUGUCAUAUUUUAAAUGUAGCUUGUUAUUUCCAUAACCAUUCACCAUUAUUAUUUAUUUUUUUUUUUGGCUCCUUCUGGCAUUAUGUCUGAAAGCAUAGAUAGAAAUAUUGCAUUCCUACCCUGAAUCUUCAGUCAACUUCCCUCAACUAUUAAAAAUAUGCAGUCUAUAGGACAUACUUAAUUCAUUUGUAUGUUUAAUGGAAAGGAAUAUAGCAAAUAUGUUCAGGGAGUACAUAUAAAUAUUGAACAGUUUACCCUAUCAAUAGCAAAAUGGUAGUGUUUUUAUUAUCUCUUGACAAUAGUUCUUGGAGUAAUUUUAAAGCUUUUCUUAAAACUGAUCGCAACAGAUUAAUUCUUGCUUACAGGAACCAAACAAGGAAAAGAAUUAUUUAAUGUUCAAGCAGUUGGUGCCUGAACACAACACAGCAGCUACCAGCAACUCUUAACCAUGUUACAGCCAUUAAACAUUCUUCUCUAUCAGAUUAGGAUUAGUAGUCUAAUCAAUGUGAAAAUAAGUAAAAAAAAAAAAAACAAAACAAAGAAACAGGCAAAUGCAUCAGGAUAAGUUACUUGCAUUUUAUCUAAAAGCCACAGAAUGACAAACGAUCUAAGAAAAUCCAGAUUAAUCUUCCCAGAGAUUAAAAUUUAUUAGAAAAUGUCCUGAACGUGAGACUGUUAUCAAUGACGUUACACUGUAAACCAGACAUAGUAUAUUAAAGAAAGACAAAGUAAUAAUAAAUGAGAAUUUAUUUUAAAGAUUACUUAUAUUUCCUUGGGAAAACCUAGGACUUUACACUUUUGCAUAUAUGCAGUUUACCAGAUAGACAGAAAUGUCUCCCUGUCUAAUUCUUGAAAUUGCUCUUAACAAAAAAUGGACAAUUCUAGAACUGAUCUCCCUGGUUUGUUUUUUUUUGUUUUGUUUUUUUUUUUUUUUUCCUCAUUUUGCUUAUAUUUAUAACAAAUUUACUCUGAAUUAUUAAUGGAGGUCAGCUUUUAUUUGUCUAGUUUUCAGAUAAUGUUCACUCAUUGUGAUCUUUGAGUGAGCCUUUCACCAGUAAAAAUCUCCUCAGCAGACAGAAAUUGAAUUGUACAGUUUUCUUCUCAACAAUAGAAGACAAACUUUGUGUCUCUCCUGUGAAAAUCAGGCUCCUGUUCCAUAGCUUCUGCCUGAAAAACAAAAGUUCCCCUUCUAACUGAAUAGCUCUGGAGCCCAGCAAACCUUACUAGGAAAGAAACACAAAUGUUGGCUCUUUCAUCUAUUUUUUAUUUGAAAAAUAACGUUAUCCCACUUGAUAAAAACAAAAUAACAAUAAUAAUAAUAAACUGCAAAGCACUUGUCAUAUAUUGUUUUUUUUUUUUUUUAGAGAUAGGUGUUACAUUCUACAAAAUUUGUAGAAUACUAGUCUGUAGUAUACAGGACCCUACUGCUCCUGUAGCAUUUCAUGGAUGAAUCACAGUGCUAGCUUAUCGGUAUAUUGAGAUAUCAAUUCGUUCCCUUAAGUAUAUUUGACUGCAUCUACCAUGCUGUUUAUCAGAACACCCCCCCACCACCACCACCUUUGAGAGUUAAAACUCUCCUUGACUGUCAGCCUCUUAUGGUUUCAACAUACCACUUUAGACACUAAAUUGUUAACUUAGACUUCCUGCACAUACUGCAGGAAUUUUGUUUGUUUGUUUUGUCUGUUUUUUAGUCUAGUAAAGAACCUCUGUGUCUCUCAGUAUAUGAAAUUACCUUGAUGCAGAGUCUUCAUACCUGUUUGAAUACAAUAACAAGAAGUUUACAACAUCUGUUCAAAUGCUGAGGAAUAUUACACAAACAACUAAUGAUGUAUUUUUCUUCCUAUGCUGUAUAUAAGCAAAUGAUUGGGGCACUUAAUAAAGCUACACUGCUAUCAGAAGUAAAGAUAUUGAUGGGAUGGUAUUCUCUACAGACAGGCAAAGGUUCCCAUCUAUGGUCCCUCCUGGCCUUAAACCAUCACUUGACUCUAUAACAGAAUUGUUUACUGCAAGCUGAACAAGUCACAUUUAACCUCAACAAACAGUCAAAUUUAAAGGGAAAUGUACCCCACAGUCUUUCUGAACCUGUAUUCAAAAAGAAUGUGAUUAAUCAAACAAGUUUUAUUUUAAUUAAUCUAGAUGAAAUCAUCUUCUGUUCUUCUGCAGUAAUCAUAGGGUGAAUGAAUGUAUAAAACUAAAGAACAAAAUAUAAAUCCCACAACACCAGUAUAGCAAGAUACAUCAAGUCUUUUUUUGUUCAGAUAAUAUCAAGCAAAUUGUUAGGGUUUUACAAAUAAUUAUCUACAAAGCAUUGCACAAACCAAGAAUAUAGACAAAAUGUCAAUAAAGUUAAGGCGUCAACAUUCUGUAAAGCAUGUGUGACUCAUUCUGUUUAUCUUAAAUAUUUUUUUCAGGAAUGUGUUUUUCCUGAAGAGAGUAAAAUCUCAAUUUUCUAAUAAUCAGUUACUCUGAUCAAAGAGAGCAAAGGAUAAUAAGGCCUUUCCAGAAGUGAAAUUGCAACAAACACUAUGAAUGACGAAUAAAGGAGGUGAAUAUAGUUUUCUUUCUGGCUAUGUUGUGUAAUACAUUGCCAUCAGCAGAACAUCAAGCAGAUACAUCAAGCAGAAUUUCAUCCUUUUGAGUGGUAAACCAUGAUGUAAUGUCAUUAGUUUUUUUCAGUCCAUUUUAUAUGUUAAUGAGCCUUCCAGUUAUAUGUAUUAGAGAGACUUUUGCACUUUGCUGGUCUUUCAGAUAUGUUUAUGAGAAUGAAAUAGAAUAGAAAGAAAGUCAUGUUCAGAACACCAUGAAAGAAUUGCUGUGAAAUGGAGGAGGAGUUAAUGACAUAGAAAUUGAGUCAAUAUGGUAGCAAAGCUAUUUUGUAUUGUUCCUUAAAGUGCUU